AGGCGCAAAAGUUUGCCAAUGUGUGCGUGGUUGCGUUUAACCCAGAUACCUUGCGGCCGCUGUGCCUCACCAACGUCUGUGGGCGUGGAACAGGCCCUGGGUUCUCCUACUGGGAAAAAUGAAGUUCAGGUACUCUAUGCUAUAUGUGGUUCCACAAUCCUCAGCAUGUUAACUGAAGCCUUGUUGAGUUUAACAAAGGUGCCGUUGAAGAUCUGGGGAAAGUGAAAAAGGUGCGACAGACUUUUGGGCUCACACCAUUGAUACAUUUGAUUCUUAAGGCAA
rnacentral:lncRNA from 1 species